GUGCCAGCAGCCGCGGUAAGACGUAGGGGGCAAGCGUUGUCCGGAAUUACUGGGCGUAAAGGGCGUGUAGGCGGUGCGGUACGUAGCGGUUUUAAGCCUCCGGCUCACCCGGAGGAGGGCGGCUAAACGGCCGCGCUGGAGGGCAGGAGAGGUGCACGGAAUUCCUGGUGGAGCGGUGAAAUGCGUAGAGAUCAGGAAGAACACCCGUGGCGAAGGCGGUGCACUGGCCUGGCCCUGACGCUGAGGCGCGACAGCGUGGGGAGCAAACGGGAUUAGAUACCCCGGUAGUCCACGCCGUAAACGAUGGGUACUAGGUGUCGCGGGGGUCCACCUCGCGGUGCCGGAGCUAACGCACUAAGUACCCCGCCUGGGGAGUACGGCCGCAAGGUUGAAACUCAAAGGAAUUGACGGGGGCCCGCACAAGCAGUGGAGCAUGUGGUUUAAUUCGACGCAACGCGCAGAACCUUACCAGGACUAGACGGGACCGUGAGCGCCGCGAAAGCGGCGGGCCCUUCGGGGAGCGGUCGUCAGGUGCUGCAUGGUUGUCGUCAGCUCGUGUCGUGAGAUGUUGGGUUAAGUCCCGCAACGAGCGCAACCCUCGUCGUGUGUUGCCAGCGGUACGGCCGGGCACUCACACGAGACUGCCGGUGACAAACCGGAGGAAGGUGGGGAUGACGUCAAAUCCGCAUGGCCUUGAUGUCCUGGGCUACACACGUGCUACAAUGGCCCCGACAACGGGCCGCGACGGCGCGAGCCGGAGCGAAUCCUUCAAACGGGGUCUCAGUUCGGAUUGCAGGCUGCAACUCGCCUGCAUGAAGCCGGAAUUGCUAGUAAUCGCGGAUCAGCAUGCCGCGGUGAAUUCGUUCCCGGGCCUUGUACACACCGCCCGUCACACCACGAGAGCUGACCACACCCGAAGCCGGUCGGCCGA
rnacentral:rRNA from 1 species